GGGGAAUAUUGGACAAUGGGCGCAAGCCUGAUCCAGCCAUGCCGCGUGAGUGAUGAAGGCCCUAGGGUUGUAAAGCUCUUUCACCGAUGAAGAUAAUGACGGUAGUCGGAGAAGAAGCCCCGGCUAACUUCGUGCCAGCAGCCGCGGUAAUACGAAGGGGGCUAGCGUUGUUCGGAAUUACUGGGCGUAAAGCGCACGUAGGCGGAUAGGUCAGUUAGGGGUGAAAUCCCAGGGCUCAACCCUGGAACUGCCUCUAAUACUGCCGAUCUAGAGUUCGAGAGAGGUGAGUGGAAUUCCGAGUGUAGAGGUGAAAUUCGUAGAUAUUCGGAGGAACACCAGUGGCGAAGGCGGCUCACUGGCUCGAUACUGACGCUGAGGUGCGAAAGCGUGGGGAGCAAAC
rnacentral:rRNA from 1 species